rnacentral:rRNA from 1 species
UACGUAGGGUCCGAGCGUUGUCCGGAAUUAUUGGGCGUAAAGGGCUCGUAGGCGGUUCGUCACGUCGGGAGUGAAAACUCGGAGCUUAACUCCGAGCCUGCUUCCGAUACGGGCAGACUUGAGUUCGGCAGGGGAGACUGGAAUUCCUGGUGUAGCGGUGAAAUGCGCAGAUAUCAGGAGGAACACCGGUGGCGAAGGCGGGUCUCUGGGCAAUUCCUGACGCUGAGGCGCGAAAGCGUGGGGAGCAAACGGG